UACGAAGGGUGCAAGCGUUAAUCGGAAUUACUGGGCGUAAAGCGUGCGUAGGCGGUUUGUUAAGUCUGUUGUGAAAUCCCCGGGCUCAACCUGGGAAUGGCAAUGGAUACUGGCAGGCUAGAGUGUGUCAGAGGAUGGUGGAAUUCCCGGUGUAGCGGUGAAAUGCGUAGAGAUCGGGAGGAACAUCAGUGGCGAAGGCGGCCAUCUGGGACAACACUGACGCUGAGGCACGAAAGCGUGGGGAUCAAACAGG
rnacentral:rRNA from 1 species